UCCCUGGUGGCUCAGACGGUAAAGCAUCUGCCUAUAAUGCAGGAGACCCGGGUUCAGUCCCUGGGUUGGGAA
rnacentral:tRNA from 1 species